rnacentral:rRNA from 1 species
CAAUAGCGUAUAUUUAAGUUGCUGCAGUUAAAAAGCUCGUAGUUGGAUUUCGGGUGGGAAUGGCCGGUCCGCCGUUUCGGUGUGCACUUGCUACGCCCACCUUGCUGCCGGGGACGUGCUCUUGAGUUCACGCUCGGGACACGGAGUCGGCGAGGUUACUUUGAGUAAAUUAGAGUGUUCAAAGCAGGCCUACGCUCUGAAUACAUUAGCAUGGAAUAACACGAUAGGACUCUGGCCUAUCUUGUUGGUCUGUAGGACCGGAGUAAUGAUUAAGAGGGACAGUCGGGGGCAUUCGUAUUUCAUUGUCAGAGGUGAAAUUCUUGGAUUUAUGAAAGACGAACUACUGCGAAAGCAUUCGCCAAGGAUGUUUUCAUUAA